CUUUGUUUUUGUUGUUAUAUUUCUCUAUUCUUGUGAAGGCUUUCAGCCUGUCUAAAUCAUGAAAUUUCUCAUUACCCAUUUCCCCCUCAUUUUUACUUUAGGUCAAGAAAUGAUGAUGGGUUGACCAUAGAUGAUAACCAGAUAUAAGAAGAAUAUUCCAGCACUAAAGCUGAAGUUUUCCAACAUUGUCUCUAAUGUUACAAAACCUGUGUAAUCCCAAUGCUUUGUAGACCUUAAAGCAAGAGGGUGAAAAUGAAAGUAAGGAAGAAGUCACAUUUGCUGUUCUUCUUAUUCCUUAAUUAAAGAAUCCUCCUGUCAUGAAUUUGAAAGAAUAAAUUUUCAUGAUGCAAGGGAUGAGUGGAACGAACACCAGCAAGACAGUAGAAAAGUUCUUACUAUCUUGGAACUUGUAGUCAACAGAUACUAUUUUGUUUAUAAGCAGAGAUGGACAUGGAAAUCAUUGUGGGGAAAGGAAGCACCAGAAGAAGACUAAACAGAAGAGAAUACACCUCUGCUGUACUGACUUCGGUCUGCUUCCUUGAGUCUCCAGGUCAAAUGAACUCCAAUAACAGAUCUAGGCUAUGUGCGAGAAGUCUGGAAAUCUGUUCAGUCUGGAUUUGAUCCUAACAACAGCAUUUGAGACCGUGUUCACCAACAGCAUUUGAGGAUACCUAGCAUCCUUGGAAUUACUUGGAUUAUUUGGCAUGCCAGUUGAUGUCUGCAUUCUACCAAGCAGGAGGAAAGAAUCAUGAUGGACUGUUCUCAUUUGGAACGCAUUAGCACAAAGAAUGCGACAAUGAAAACCCCAGAGAGCUGCAAGAUGACAAAUCGUAAGCUCUGCUGUUAAAUGCACCUGUUCUGGACUUCCGGUUUUGCACAGUAGCGACCGGUCACAGGCUUGCGGAUUCUCCGCACCCCCGCAGCUAAUUUCGCCCUGCCUGGGGACCCUUAAUGGGUCUAAGUCGCCCCGGAGAGGCGAUGAAGAAAGUAGGGUGCUCCAGCAAUUCUGGAAUGGCGGUAGCCAUUCCGUUCGACUUGGGGAAGACCUUCUAACCCAAAAGGAGAAAGGCUGGCCGUAUUGCAUUGACCAGCCCAAGCUACUAACAACUGAAGUCCAAAAGCACUAACCAGCACAACUGUGAACAGCGUGCUUGA